rnacentral:rRNA from 1 species
AUUGAACGCUGGCGGCAGGCCUAACACAUGCAAGUCGAGCGGAUGAAGGGAGCUUUCUCCUGGAUUCCGCGGCGGACGGGUGAGUAAUGCCUAGGAAUCUGCCUGGUAGUGGGGGAUAACGUCCGGGGACGGGCGCUAAUACCGCCUACGUCCUGCGGGAGAAAGUGGGGGAUCUUCGGACCUCACGCUAUCAGAUGAGCCUAGGUCGGUUUAGUGAGUUGGUGGGGUAAAGGCCUAUCGCGGCGACGAUCCGGAACUGGUCUGAGAGGAUGUACAGGCACACUGGAACUGAGAGGCGGUCCAGAGUCCGACGGGAGGCAGAAGUGGGGAAUAUUGGAAGAAGGGCGAAAGCCUGAUCCAUCCACGCCGCGUGGGUGAAGAAGGUCUUCGGAUGGGAAAGCACUUUAAGUGGGGAGGAAGGGCAGUAAGUUAAUACCUUGCUGUUGUGACGUUACCAACAGAAGAAGCACCGGCUAACUUCGUG